rnacentral:lncRNA from 1 species
GGAACAUUUGAUAGUGCUGAAGAUGCUGCUUUAGCUUAUGAUCAAGCUGCAUUUUCAAUGAGAGGUAAUAAUGCUGUUAUCAAUUUUCCUGUUCAAAGGGUUAAAGAAUCUUUGCAAGAGAUUCAAUAUAAAUGUAUAAAAGGGUCUUCACCUGCACUUGCACUCAGAGAGACACUAUGAACAGAGAAAGUUGUCAUCAAAAGCAAGAAAGAAUAAUAAAGCAGAGAAACAAGAAUCAGCAGAGGGAUCAUCAUCAAGUGUGUUGGUGUUAGAAGAUUUAGGAGCUGAAUAUCUUGAGCAACUUCUAAGUAUGUCUGAUACUGAUAAUCAAAGUACAAACACCAGCUUCUAAUCAAAUUGUUAAUUUUAAUAAUUUUCUCUCUUAAAAUUUUUGGUUCUUGUUUUUGCAGUUUUUACAACAUAAAUUAUUGAGCUAGGGCAAUUUUGCAUAGAAAAAUGUGGUUGCUUUCAAGUUCUAACUGAACUGUUUGAUUCACUAGAUAUAUUUUGUUCUCUCUGAUUUCAAUUUAUUGGUACCUUAGUAAUUGAGAAUCAUCAUCAUAGCUUGGUACCUUAAGUAACAUACAAAUAUUUUUGGCAGGAACUUUUCAUGUUGGAUAGUAUAAAAAUUACUUUAAUACCUAACAUGCUGUAUUAUUAAAAUACACAUCAUAAAUACAAUUAAUGAAUCAAAUAAAGACAUCAGAUGUGAGUUGACCGGGACGUGAGUUUAUAAGUAAGAGACAAUUCUCACCAUACAAACUGAUCGAUUUUGUAGCAUUGAGUUAGACCAAAUACUUAAUUCUAAGAUGGUAUCAGAGUCUCUCCAAGAUCUGGUGGGCCACCCGCUGUCGGGUCACCUAUCAUUUAUAUCCACACACCAAGUCUGAUAGUGUUGUACGUGAGAGAGUGUGUUAAGAAGUCUCACACAGAUGUGAGUUGGUCUGAACAUGAAUUUAUAAGUAAGAGACAAUCCUCACUUUACAAGAUGAUUUUGUAAGGUUAAGUUAGACUCAAUACUCAAUUCUAAGAGAAAAUUUAAAAGAUACAUUUCCAGAGGUGAAGAGAUGUGAUCUAGAAAUGAAAGACAUUUUAAUUUCCUAUAGAUAGAGGAUGAAGAUUCCGGUACACAUAUUAUUUAAUUAUGUACCGAUAUAUUGUUGAGGUGGAUAAUUCUUAUAAAUCCCAAAUUGUGAACCUAGCAAUUUACAUAUCCGAUAUACCAAUACAUAUCAAAAUAAUACGUGUAUAAAAAAAUUCACCUAAAUAGAGAAACUUGUCAAGAGGUGAAAUAUCAUCAAUCACAGAGAGAGUUGAUAUAUCAAGGCAGGAUAUUAUCAAAUUAAUAAGUCUUUAUCAAAUUAACAAGGCAGGAUAUUUACAAGGGAAAUCCAUAAUUAACAAAUUAAUAGGAAGUCUUUAUAGGCUGUGAAGUGAGAACAUAUAUAUUUGCAAAUUAAUAAGUCUUUAAUUAACAAAUCUAAUCAACCGAUUGUCAAAAAAAAAAAAAAAAAAUUAACAAAACUAAUUAACCUAAAAAAUGAAUCAAAGUAAUAGGGAUGUUUCUUGAUCAGCAAAGUAUACGAUAUUGUGUUCCCAUUGACCAUAGACAAUAUAAUAUUUUUUUAGACACAAUAUAAAUUUUCUUCCAUGGUAAACAAAAUUACUUAUACCAUUCUUCUUAUUAUAAAACCAUGAGGCACAAACAAUGAAUCUGUUAGUUGAAUUAAAAAAAACUAAAAACUAGUUUCCAACACUUAUUCAAAUAUGAAUUGCAAAAUUAAACUAAAAAUAGACUUCAGGAAUAUUAAAACAUAAGAUUGAGUAAGAAAAAAAAAAGAAUAAAACGUAAGAUAAAAGGAAGAAAUUAUAGCAAAAAUGUGAAGCAUGGGAACCAUAUGCUCAAAUUAGAAUGGAAUUUAUGGAAAUAAUGCCUUUAAAAGAAAUGUAAGAGAUCAAAUAUAUGAGAUAAAAUCCAUGAAUAAUACACACAACACAAGUAUAAUAUUUUUUUUAUUUCAACAAUAUAUCUAAGAGAUAAUAAAUGAAAUUUUCAACAAAUUAAAAUUAGUUGAAAUGAAAUCACAUAAAUACCUCUUUUAUAUAAUGCAUUGGUCCUCCUCCACCAUGAAAUUAAAUUAUUUCCCUAUAUAUCCAGAUAAUAUGAAAGGGGUUAAUUAAAAUGUGUAUAAUCCCCAUAGUAUAGGAACACAAGAGGCUGAGUAAGUGAAAGUGUAAGAUAGAUAGGUUAAAUAGUGGCGUUCCAGGGCCGGCUAGCUUGUCUCCAAUCCCCCAAAAUGGGACAUUCAUUUGACCUAAUAUAAAGUUUAAGUAGUUUUGUAUCUAAAAAAUAGUUUACAGUAUAUAAUUAAUAUUUUUUUUUUUUUGAUAACAGUAUAUAAUUAAUAUUUAUAAGCAAACACAUACAUUAGAAAAUUAAUUCAAAGGUUUAUAAUAUAAAUUUAAUAUAUUUAUACUCGAAUAUUUAAUUUGCACACAUACAUCGAAAAUAUGACUUUUUAACAUUUCUUCUAAAUAUAAAUAAAGAUUAUUAAUAUUAAUUAGUGUUCACUAGAAAUACUUUUUCUUAAAAAUAAACUAUUUACCAAAUAUUUUGUUUAUGUGAACUAAGAAGCAGAUAUCAAAAAGAGACUUAAUUAGACAUUCCGUUGACAUCUCUAAUAAACCUCUAAUAAUAUUUUACUAAAUAUUGUAUUAUUGAUUCAUACACAUUGAAUGAUUUAUUAGGCUACCUUUUCUUUUGUACAAGGCAGCUACUUUUGCCACCCUACUGGUUAUUCGCGCGUCCUAUUGUUCACUACUUAAGUAGUGGAUGUGUAAAAAUCAUAAAUUUUGGGGAAAAAGUCGUCCGCUACUUAAGUAGCGGACAAUGUUUGAGUAACCAGUAGGGCGGCAAAAAUAAUUCUCUUUAUACAAAUGAUUUAUUGGGCUCUAUGAUUGGCCCAAUUGCUAGUUCACUGGAUGAGCUAAAAACAGAUAAGAAAAUAAGGUUUUUUUACUUUUCUAAUUUACCCAUCAAAAGUAUAUGUGGGAGGUGGGAAAAGAAGGUCCACUUUACUACUAAGUCUUAUGUUAAUGUCAAAACUCUUUCUUUUACUUAUUGGGCCUCUAUAUAUAUUUGGGUUACUUAAUAACCUGGGCCUAUAUAUAAUAAUAGCUACAAAUUUAUCAUUUGUGUAUGGUAAGGUCAAUGAUAAAUAAAUAAAUAAAAACUGUCUAAGACAACCUCCUUAAUUAUAUUAUGAUAAUUAGGCGUGUUCAUGAUUUAGUUUAGAGUAAAAAUAGAACUGAACCGAACCAAAUUAUUUACAUGUUCAGAAGAACUGAAUUGGACCGUAUAAUUUUAGGCAAGCCAGCAUUUGCAGCCUCUACCAACCAGUGAAACUUGAACCAUGUUCCACCACUCUGAUGCCCUCGCUUGAGUUACAAGUUGCGGAAUUUUACUAAUUUUGAGGUUUGAACCUAUGUCACAUAAAUUAUGAAUUCUUCAUCCUAAUCAAUUGAGUUAAGUAAACUUCUUAACAAAAUUAAUUAAGUUCUGAAACAAAUAAAUUAAACUAAACUAUAAGUAAUUAAUUACUAGUACUUACAUAUGUGUAGCCAUAAUACUGUGCUUCAAGUCGUGUGAUUCCUUGUGUGCUUGACAUAAAGCCUGCCAAAUGCAAAUUAUGAAUGAAUACUAAAGACAUAGGCGAUGAAGAUGUUGUAAUGUGAGAUUAAAUACACACACAUACCAUUUUUAAUCUUGUUGUCCAUGAUGUCUUGUUCUCGUGUCAAAGUCAAAAAAGUAAGUGGGAACAUAUUAAGAAGAAGAAAAAAAAAUAAAGUUAUC